AAAUUGAAGAGUUUGAUCAUGGCUCAGAUUGAACGCUGGCGGCAGGCCUAACACAUGCAAGUCGAACGGUAGCACAGAGAGCUUGCUCUCGGGUGACGAGUGGCGGACGGGUGAGUAAUGUCUGGGAAACUGCCUGAUGGAGGGGGAUAACUACUGGAAACGGUGGCUAAUACCGCAUAACGUCGCAAGACCAAAGAGGGGGACCUUCGGGCCUCUUGCCAUCAGAUGUGCCCAGAUGGGAUUAGCUUGUUGGUGAGGUAACGGCUCACCAAGGCGACGAUCCCUAGCUGGUCUGAGAGGAUGACCAGCCACACUGGAACUGAGACACGGUCCAGACUCCUACGGGAGGCAGCAGUGGGGAAUAUUGCACAAUGGGCGCAAGCCUGAUGCAGCCAUGCCGCGUGUAUGAAGAAGGCCUUCGGGUUGUAAAGUA
rnacentral:rRNA from 1 species